GUCUCUGCGGAGACAUCCGAUAAAAUUGGAACGAUACUGAGAAGAUUAGCAUGGCCUCGGCGCAAGAAUGACACGCAUAAAUAAAUAUUAGUAAAGAUUAAC